rnacentral:rRNA from 1 species
AUCUAACGGGGAAUGGUCCAUAUCCGGAAGAACACCGCUGGUUAGCCGGUUCUCUGGACCCUAACUAACGCUUAGACACGAAAGGCGGGGUAGCAACCAGAAUAGAUCCCCUGGUAGUCCACGCCCUAAACGAUGCAUAUUGGUGUGGGCAGUUCAUUUGGUCCGUGCCGGAGCUAACGCGUUAAAUAUGCCGCCUGGGGAGUACAGUCGCAAGGCUGAAACUCAAAGGAAUUGACGGGGGCCCGCACAAGCGGUGGAGCAUGUGGUUCAAUUCGACGCAACGCGAAGAACCUUACCUGGGCUCGAACGGCUGGUCAACGGAGGUGGAAACAUCUNUACCCCGCAAGGGGGUCCAGUCGAGGUGCUGCAUGGCUGUCGUCAGCUCGUGUCGUGAGAUGUUGGGUUAAGUCCCGCAACGAGCGCAACCCUUGUCCUGUGUUGCCAUCAUUCAGUUGGGAACUCGCAGGAGACCGCCAGCGAUAAGCUGGAGGAAGGUGGGGAUGACGUCAAGUCCUCAUGGCCUUUAUGUCCAGGGCUACACACGUGCUACAAUGGGCGGUACAAAGCGCCGCGAACCCGCGAGGGGGAGCCAAUCGCAAAAAACCGCUCUCAGUUCGGAUUGCAGGCUGCAACUCGCCUGCAUGAAGCUGGAAUCGCUAGUAAUGGCAGAUCAGCACGCUGCCGUGAAUACGUUCCCGGGCCUUGUACACACCGCCCGUCACAUCACGAAAGUGGAUUGUACUAGAAGUCUGCAGGCUGACCCGCAAGGGGGGCAGCGGCCCAAGGUAUGAUCCAUGAUUGGGGUGAAGUCGUAACAAGGUAAAUCGAAUUCCCGCGGCC